GCCGCGGUAGCCCAGAUGUUAGAGGCGUCGCCAGUAAACUGAAUGGCGAAAGUCGCAUGUUCAAAUCCUGCCCGCGGUA